CUUUUUUCUGCCUCGGUCUUGCGCGCCCGCUGGCGAAAGCCACACUCCGGCAAGCGCCGCCACCGCUUUUUUCCCUUGCCGUAUCCCAGCAAAGAAGAAACAACGGCGAGGCCACAGGCCGAAAGGAAAAAAGGGCAGCGCGCGCGUACAUCGUCACAGAAUCGUCGACUGUCUAAAAAAAUGGGGCAACAAAGGGAAUUGCUUUUUUCCCGGCGGUUGAGAUCAGCGAAUCUCGUCGAGGAGACGGUAAAAGGCCAUGCGCGCGCACAGCCGCCCUGGGUACACAAUGUCCUCUGGGUCGAGGACGGCACCCGCAUAGAGCGCCUGUGCGACGAGCGGAGCCAAUAUCGCCACGCGCGAGGCGACGUCCAUUUCGUCGUCGCUGGUUUCUAGGCGCGGUCGCUGGCCAGCAGGGGCGCCAGCGGUUGUGACGCGUUGGGCGAUGCGACGACGUUGUACGGGUUCAAAGACGCGGCGCGCCGACGGUUUCGGCAUACACGGCGGCCGCUUUGACCGCGGGCGUCAUGGUCUCGAUCAGCAGCGGAUCAAACUCUCCUUCGUCCUGCUCGGCGGCCGCUUGCAAAAGCGCAACGGCCUCGUCCGCAGUCAGGCGCGCGUCGUUGGCGAUGCCACACGCCAACGUCCAUCCGUCAUUGUCGACUUUGUCAUAGGGUGACCAGACGCCAUCAUCGCUAUGGCGCACGAGCGCAAGGGCCGGCUGACUAAAGAACAAGUGUUCGGGCGGCGCGAGGCGAGGAGCGGCCGGCGCCGCGCCAAAAGACGCGGCGAUGCCAGCACGUACAACGUCGUCCAACAGGUCGGGACACAGGCGUUCGGUAUCACGCAGUUGCGCGUCCGUCAGGUUCACGCCCAGCGCAUCGGCAACAUCUACAAGACGGUCAGCACGCGCGAGACGGCCCGUGAUAGGCUCGGGCGCAUCGCUGCACACACGCUGCCAUGUGGCAAACGCAGCGCGUUCCUUGAUGCCCUCGGGCAGGCUCGCCAAGAGCCGUGUGCCUUGAGGAACGACGGCGGAAGCCGCUGCGGCGAUGGACAUGUCAGCGAGCGUUCGGGGUGCCGUGCCUGCUGCAACGACGCGUAACCGCCGUGCGGCAUCAGCCGCCGCGAUCAUCCCAAGGACGGACGCGAGUUGACAUGGACUCACGAGCACGGCGCGUGCGCCCGCCAGUGACGGUUCAAAUGCCGCGGUGGUGUAUCUUUGCGCCAUGACCUCGCGCGCCAGAUGAGGCGAUAGACCGACCAAGGGCAUCAUGGAACGCCGCAUCGCCGACGCGCCCUCAUAGCGAUCGCCCAUCGGCUCUCUGAUGUCGUCUCGGGAUUGUCCGCCGCCGCCGCCAUCGCUCGCGUCGCCUCUUGUAUGGUGAAUCGGCGCGGCCGUCGACGACAGGCUGUCAACGGCGAGUGCCUCUGCCAAGCGCGGCAGCACGCCCGCGAGGUCAGCCAGCGUGCCAUGGGCAAAGUCGUAUAACGCGGCGUCGGCCACAAACUGUGACUCAUCAAAGUAUUCCUCGUCGAUUUCGUCAUGGUAGUCGCCGUAGCCGUCGGUCUCCUCACGGGGGACGCGAACUUGUGCCAGUAGGCCGGUCACGGAAAGGUUGCGUGCAGGGUCGCCACCGUCAUCAUCAUCAUAAGCAUCGCCAUGGUCUUGUUCGGGCGGCAUACGCUGAACGCGAUACAUAGAGACGCGCGCCGUGGGCGUUGAGGCACCGCGCACCGGAGGCCACACGACAAACAGGUAAAAGACAUUGGAGCGGUCACCGCGUGUAUCGAUGCACCCCAGCGCCGUCUCGGGGCCAACGGCAAACAGAGGCAAUAUGCCGCUUUCGCGCACCGACAACCGUGCAUCGACGGCUUCGACCAGCUGAUUUGUGGCCCACGAGGGCCAGUCGAGAUAGAGACCAAAGAGGUCGACGAGAAAGGUGUCGACGGGAUCAGUUGCCAAGCCAAACGACGAGGACGGUGGGCCGAGUGCGCGCAAGAGAUCGCCGAGGCGGUAAAAGAGCGGCACCGUUCCGCCGCCCGCCUCUGUGGGGCCAUCACCGAGGGCAGCGCGCACGCGCGGGUGGGCGCCGAGAGCACGAGACCACACGGGGUCGAUGGACGCCAUGGUUUGAUUUUUUUGUGGGCGCGCUCGUCUCUGGGGUUUUUUACCCGAAAGGGCACGCGUCUUGAAGCGCAUUACGCCACAACGGUUGGGUGCGCGUGCGCAUCCGGCACUUUGCCACCACCGCGGCGCUCCCCCGCAGAGGAGGGAAAAAAAAAAGAACCAGGACAAGUCCGACCUUUCCUCGUGUCCGCGCGCUGCGCGACCAAGCGAAAUACAAGGCCAAGACGAAACAAAUUGCGCACACACGUACGCCCAUACGCACACAGACACCCAAGGCACCAAAAAUGGCCGCGAACCCACCACAAACAGGGAAAAUAAAAGAG
rnacentral:lncRNA from 1 species